rfam:Kockovaella imperatae strain NRRL Y-17943 BD324scaffold_1, whole genome shotgun sequence.
GCCUCUAUGGCGCAGUAGGUAGCGCAUCUGGCUUUUACUUAAAGCAUAUCAACCAGCAGGUCUCGGGUUCGAACCCCGAUGGAGGCU